rnacentral:rRNA from 1 species
UACGGAGGGUGCAAGCGUUAAUCGGAAUUACUGGGCGUAAAGCGCACGUAGGUGGUUUUCUAAGUCAGCUGUGAAAUCCCCGGGCUCAACCUGGGAAUUGCAUUCGAUACUGGAUAGCUAGAGUUCGGCAGAGGGAAGCGGAAUUUCUGGUGUAGCGGUGAAAUGCGUAGAUAUCAGAAGGAACAUCAGUGGCGAAAGCGGCUUCCUGGACCAGAACUGACGAUCAGGCACGAAAGCGUGGGGAGCAAACAGG